ACUCCUACGGGAGGCAGCAGUGGGGAAUAUUGCACAAUGGGGGAAACCCUGAUGCAGCCAUGCCGCGUGUGUGAAGAAGGCCUUCGGUUGUAAGCACUUUCAGUAGGGAGGAAGGUAGUGUAGUUAACACCUGCAUUAUUUGUACGUUACCUACAGAAGAAGCACCGGCUAACUCCGUGCCAGCAGCCGCGGUAAUACGGAGGGUGCGAGCGUUAAUCGGAAUUACUGGGCGUAAAGCGCAUGCAGGCGGCCUGUUAAGUCAGAUGUGAAAGCCCGGGGCUUAACCUCGGAAUUGCAUUUGAAACUGGCAGGCUAGAGUCUUGUAGAGGGGGGUAGGAA
rnacentral:rRNA from 1 species